UACCUAGGUGGCAAGCGUUAUCCGGAUUUAUUGGGCGUAAAGGGAACGCAGGCGGUCUUUUAAGUCUGAUGUGAAAGCCUUCGGCUUAACCGGAGUAGUGCAUUGGAAACUGGGAGACUUGAGUGCAGAAGAGGAGAGUGGAACUCCAUGUGUAGCGGUGAAAUGCGUAGAUAUAUGGAAGAACACCAGUGGCGAAAGCGGCUCUCUGGUCUGUAACUGACGCUGAGGUUCGAAAGCGUGGGUAGCAAACAGG
rnacentral:rRNA from 1 species